AUUGAACGCUGGCGGCAGGCCUAACACAUGCAAGUCGAGCGGUAGAGAGAAGCUUGCUUCUCUUGAGAGCGGCGGACGGGUGAGUAAUGCCUAGGAAUCUGCCUGAUAGUGGGGGAUAACGUCCGGAAACGGACGCUAAUACCGCAUACGUCCUACGGGAGAAAGUGGGGGCUCUUCGGACCUCACGCUAUCAGAUGAGCCUAGGUGGGAUUAGCUAGUUGGUGGGGUAAAGGCUCACCAAGGCGACGAUCCGUAACGGGUCUGAGAGGAUGAUCAGUCACACUGGAACUGAGACACGGUCCAGACUCCUACGGGAGGAAGCAGUGGGGAAUAUUGGACAAUGGGCGAAAGCCUGAUCCAGCCAUGCCGCGUGUGUGAAGAAGGUCUUCGGAUUGUAAAGCACUUUAAGUUGGGAGGAAGGGUCGUUACCUGAUACGUGACGAUUUUGACGUUACCGACAGAAUAAGCACCGGCUAACUCUGUGCCAGCCGCCGCCGUAAGAC
rnacentral:rRNA from 1 species